UAGGGAAUCUUCGGCAAUGGGGGGAACCCUGACCGAGCAACGCCGCGUGAGUGAAGAAGGUUUUCGGAUCGUAAAGCUCUGUUGUUAAGGAAGAACGAGUGUGAGAAUGGAAUGUUCAUGCUGUGACGGUACUUAACCAGAAAGGGACGGCUAACUACGUGCCAGCAGCCGCGGUAAUACGUAGGUCCCGAGCGUUGUCCGGAUUUAUUGGGCGUAAAGCGAGCGCAGGCGGUUAGAAAAGUCUGAAGUGAAAGGCAGUGGCUCAACCAUUGUAGGCUUUGGAAACUGUUUAACUUGAGUGCAGAAGGGGAGAGUGGAAUUCCAUGUGUAGCGGUGAAAUGCGUAGAUAUAUGGAGGAACACCGGUGGCGAAAGCGGCUCUCUGGUCUGUAACUGACGCUGAGGCUCGAAAGCGUGGGGAGCGAACAGG
rnacentral:rRNA from 1 species